AUUGAACGCUGGCGGAAUGCUUUACACAUGCAAGUCGAACGGCAGCACGGGGCAACCUGGUGGCGAGUGGCGAACGGGUGAGUAAUACAUCGGAACGUGCCCAAUCGUGGGGGAUAACGUAGCGAAAGUUACGCUAAUACCGCAUACGAUCUACGGAUGAAAGCGGGGGAUCGCAAGACCUCGCGCGAAUGGAGCGGCCGAUGUCAGAUUAGGUAGUUGGUGGGGUAAAGGCUCACCAAGCCAACGAUCUGUAGCUGGUCUGAGAGGACGACCAGCCACACUGGAACUGAGACACGGUCCAGACUCCUACGGGAGGCAGCAGUGGGGAAUUUUGGACAAUGGGCGCAAGCCUGAUCCAGCCAUUCCGCGUGCAGGAUGAAGGCCUUCGGGUGUAAACUGCUUUAUACGGAACGAAAAGGUCCUGGUUAAUACCUGGGGCUCGAUGACGGUACCGUAAGAAUAAGCACCGGCUAACUACGUGCCGGCAGCCGCGGUAAU
rnacentral:rRNA from 1 species